GACGAACGCUGGCGGCGUGCUUAACACAUGCAAGUCGAACGGAAAGGCCCUGCUUUUGUGGGGUGCUCGAGUGGCGAACGGGUGAGUAACACGUGAGUAACCUGCCCUUGACUUUGGGAUAACUUCAGGAAACUGGGGCUAAUACCGGAUAGGAGCUCCUGCUGCAUGGUGGGGGUUGGAAAGUUUCGGCGGUUGGGGAUGGACUCGCGGCUUAUCAGCUUGUUGGUGGGGUAGUGGCUUACCAAGGCUUUGACGGGUAGCCGGCCUGAGAGGGUGACCGGCCACAUUGGGACUGAGAUACGGCCCAGACUCCUACGGGAGGCAGCAGGGGGGAAUAUUGCACAAUGAGCGGAAGCCUGAUGCAGCAACGCCGCGUGCGGGAUGACGGCCUUCGGGUUGUAAACCGCUUUCGCCUGUGACGAAGCGUGAGUGACGGUAAUGGGUAAAGAAGCACCGGCUAACUACGUG
rnacentral:rRNA from 1 species